rnacentral:rRNA from 1 species
AGAGUUUGAUCCUGGCUCAGAUUGAACGCUGGCGGCAGGCCUAACACAUGCAAGUCGAGCGGAUGAAGGGAGCUUGCUCCCUGAUUUAGCGGCGGACGGGUGAGUAAUGCCUAGGAAUCUGCCUGGUAGUGGGGGAUAACGUUCCGAAAGGAACGCUAAUACCGCAUACGUCCUACGGGAGAAAGCAGGGGAUCUUCGGGCCUUGCGCUAUCAGAUGAGCCUAGGUCGGAUUAGCUAGUUGGUGAGGUAAUGGCUCACCAAGGCGACGAUCCGUAACUGGUCUGAGAGGAUGAUCAGUCACACUGGAACUGAGACACGGUCCAGACUCCUACGGGAGGCAGCAGUGGGGAAUAUUGGACAAUGGGCGAAAGCCUGAUCCAGCCAUGCCGCGUGUGUGAAGAAGGUCUUCGGAUUG